AUCCAGCUGGUGAGUCCCGAAUAGGACGAAACGCGCGUCAAACUGGAU
rnacentral:hammerhead_ribozyme from 1 species